rnacentral:rRNA from 1 species
AGAGUGAACGCUGGCGGUAGGCCUAACACAUGCAAGUCGAACGGCAGCACAGUGGUAGCAAUACCAUGGGUGGCGAGUGGCGGACGGGUGAGGAAUACAUCGGAAUCUACCUUUUCGUGGGGGAUAACGUAGGGAAACUUACGCUAAUACCGCAUACGCCCUUUGGGGGAAAGCCGGGGAUCGCAAGACCUGGCGCGGAUAGAUGAGCCGAUGUCGGAUUAGCUAGGUUGGUGAGGUAGUGGCCCACAAGGCGACGAUCCGAGCUGGUCUGAGAGAUGAUCAGCCACACUGGAACUGAGACACGGUCCAGACCUCCGUACGGGAGCAGCAGGUAGGGAAUAGUAGGACUAAGUGGGACAC